UGUAUUUUAAUUCUAGCCUGGCCAGUUAGCUGCAUGAUCUUGAACAAAUUAGUUGCCCUCUCUUCACCUCUAGACACUCCGUCAUUUGAGCAGUUUGGAACUAAACGCUCUCUAAGGACCCUUUGAGAUCUCAUAUUCUAGAAGUUUCUCAUUCUACGAAAUCUAUUCCCUCUGUCUUGGCUGAGCGUUCUUGCUAAUGAUUCACUAGCCAUGAAGAGUUUUGUUCACUGACCUCAUCCAUAAAAGGGCCAAGGAGGUAGCAAAUAAAAGCAAACAAUAAACAAAUGGUAGAUGUGUAAAAUAAACUUCAGGUCUUUGGCAUGCUCUAUGUCUUCAGCCUAGUUAGUAUAUAUCAUCUCUUUUGAGCUUUUCUUCAUUUUUUUGUUUUUCAUUGUACUUUAUACCAUGUUAAAGUACAUGUUAUAUGUUUCAAUAUACAGAAUUUCAGGUAUCUCACACUUUGUCACCUAUGAGUAAGAUGAGAAUGUUUUUAAAGCUUUCUGUUCUCCCCAACAGUGAAUUUCUCAAAAUGAAAAUAUCUGGAAAUAAGUCAGAAUUUUUAAAAAGAAUUUUGUGUAACUGUUUACAAAGUUAUAACCAAACACUGUAGGUAAAACAUUCAGCCAGGCAUGGUGGCUCAUGCCUAUAAUCUCAGCAUUUUGGGAGGCUGAGGCAGGUAGAUAACCUGAGGUCAGGAGUUUGAGACCAGGUUGACCAACAUGGUGAAAUCCCAUCUCUACUAAAAAUACAAAAAUUUGCCGGGUAUGGUGGCGCAUGCUUGUAAUCCCAGCUACUUGAGAGGCUGAGGUGAGAGGAUCACUUGAACCUGAGAGGUGGAGGCUGCAGUGAGCAAAGAUUACACCACUGCACUCCAGCCUGGGUGACAGAGCGAGACUCCGUCUCAAAAAAAAAAAAAAAUAAAUAAUGUGGAUAUUUACUGGGCAGCUACUCUGUGGCUACUAAUGCGGUGAUCUAAAGAGGAAUAAGACGCAUCCUUACCCUUGUCUCCCAUGCAUCUCCUCCCCUAGUCCCAAUCCCAAACUGUGCUCCAGCCUCAAUAAACUGUCUCCAGUUCUCUAGGCCUUGGGGCACUUAAAAUAGCAGCCCAGGGACAAAAGAAGACAAACUUGAAUUUACUGAAAAAAUCCCAUAUUGACCAGGAUUACCCAGAGUUGAUUAAAACUUACAUUUCUAUCACUGGCCAGAUGGGGGCUUGAUGUUGAAACCAAAUUCAGAAUUAAAAAAUUAUAUAUUUUCACACUUGAGGUUAACCCCCAAUUUUUUAUCUGGUAGUUAUAUCUUGGCACGGAGCCAGGCAUGGUUCAGUUAAAAGCAGGUAAACCUUGCUGAAAACUGAGAAGCCCAGAACCUCUUAGAAGUAGACAUAGAGGAGGCAGAGAGAGUCACUAAGAAGAGUUCCAAUGCUGGUUUGACCGAGAGAACAAACUGGAGAACAUAACAAGGCUCAGGAGUCCACUGAAAGCAGGUCCAAGUCUUAUGCUCUUCUCUAACCCUUGUCUCUAGAACAGGAACUGGCAAAAGCAGGUUCUCAGUGGUAAGGGCACUGAAUACAUGAACAUAGAAACAGAAACUGAAACAUCACUAGAAAUGUGGGCAGUAGAAUCCAGAGGAGGAAGAAGCAUGUUCUGGGAAAAGAGAAGCAGAUUUCUUUCAGUAAUGCAGGCAGAGAGACCACAUGCAACCCAGAAGCCUUCCAGUGGGCAGGCGGGCUCCAGCCACUGGUCCGAGCACAGAUCCUAGAGAGAGAAGACUGUAUCUACUGAUUUUGUAGAGUUCUGAAUCCUACGUAGAGCUACACAUAACCGGAUGUUUAAUCGUAAUCAAGAUCUUCAGAGGUCCAAGACAUAAAAAUCAUCACUACUAUUGCUACGACCACUACAAGGAAAAAGUGAAGUGAGCAGCUACUGUUCAUAAUGUGUACCUGUACAUUCUCCAAGCUUUACCUGUGCAACCUCCCAACAACGCUGUGAGGAGCAUCAUCUCCAUUUUACAGACGAUAAAACCUCCAAGAGGGAAAGUUAUUUAUUCAACAUCAAUAAGGCAAAUGAGUAGCAAGGUUGAGACUCAAGUGCAGCUAGUUGCCUUUCGGAGUCCCUGCGAUAGUGGCUGUGCAGGCCCUAGAAUAGCUACUGAAUAAAUGGAGGAGGCAGGAAAUAAAAGGAAAAGAGAAGUCGCAGCUUUGAGAAUUCAAAAGGGGUGAUGGCUUUCCUAACAGGGGUUGACUCCUGAGCACAUGAAUAAUUCAUCAAAGCUCUCUACUGAGAGAUGGCUCUUUUUGUGUGUAGUACAUCUGGUCAGGGAUAGCUGCCCACGACUGAGCCACAAAUGUGAGGACUUGGAUCCGCCUGCCUGUAAACACAGCUCAGAGCAGCUCUCUGCUUCCUUACUCUGAGGACUGACAGCUAUUUUGAUUCCAAGAGGCAGGUGAGGUUCUUUCAUUUGUACACACAAAAUAAGCAAAAAUAAAUCCCACAUAUAUGAUA